AGUGAACGCUGGCGGCAGGCCUAACACACGCAAGUCGAACGGCAGCACAGUGGAGCUUGCUCCAUGGGUGGCGAGUGGCGGACGGGUGAGGAAUACAUCGGAAUCUGCCCAGUCGUGGGGGAUAACAUAGGGAAACUUAUGCUAAUACCGCAUACGACCUACGGGUGAAAGCGGGGGAUCGCAAGACCUCGCGCGAUUGGAUAAGCCGAUGUCCGAUUAGCUAGUUGGCGGGGUAAUGGCCCACCAAGGCGACGAUCGGUAGCUGGUCUGAGAGGAUGAUCCGCCACACUGGACCUGAGACACGGUCCAGACUCCUACGGGAGGCAGCAGUGGGGAAUAUUGGACAAUGGGCGCAAGCCUGAUCCAGCCAUGCCGCGUGGGUGAAGAAGGCCUUCGGGUUGUAAAGCCCUUUUGUCCGGAAAGAAACGCCUCGGAUUAAUACUCUGGGGUAAUGACGGUACCGGAAGAAUAAGCACCGGCUAACUUCGUGCCAGCAGCCGCCGUAACAC
rnacentral:rRNA from 1 species